rnacentral:rRNA from 1 species
AGCGAACGCUGGCGGCAGGCUUAACACAUGCAAGUCGAGCGCCCCGCAAGGGGAGCGGCAGACGGGUGAGUAACACGUGGGAACGUGCCUUUUGGUUUGGAACAACCCAGGGAAACUUGGGCUAAUACCGGAUAAGCCCUUACGGGGAAAGAUUUAUCGCCAAAAGAUCGGCCCGCGUCUGAUUAGCUAGUUGGUGGGGUAAUGGCCCACCAAGGCUACGAUCAGUAGCUGGUCUGAGAGGAUGAUCAGCCACAUUGGGACUGAGACACGGCCCAAACCCCUACGGGAGGCAGCAGUGGGGAAUAUUGGACAAUGGGGGCAACCCUGAUCCAGCCAUGCCGCGUGAGUGAUGAAGGCCUUAGGGUUGUAAAGCUCUUUUAGCAGGGAAGAUAAUGACGGUACCUGCAGAAAAAGCCCCGGCUAACUUCGUGCCAGCCGCCGCCGUAACAC